rnacentral:rRNA from 1 species
CGGCGGACGGGUGAGUAACACGUGGAUAACCUACCUAUAAGACUGGGAUAACUUCGGGAAACCGGAGCUAAUACCGGAUAAUAUAUUUAACCGCAUGGUUCAAUAGUGAAAGACGGUUUUGCUGUCACUUAUAGAUGGAUCCGCGCCGCAUUAGCUAGUUGGUAAGGUAACGGCUUACCAAGGCAACGAUGCGUAGCCGACCUGAGAGGGUGAUCGGCCACACUGGAACUGAGACACGGUCCAGACUCCUACGGGAGGCAGCAGUC